CUAACUCAAUGAAACUAAGCCAUGCCCGUGGGGCCACCCAAGACGGGUGGGUCAUGGUGGAGAGGGCUGACAGAAUGUGGUCCACUGGAGAAGGGAAUGGCAAACUACUUCAGUAUUCUUGCCUUGAGAACUCCAUGAACAGUAUGAAAAGGAUCUGGCUUAGAAUCCAAAAUCCAGUUACAUGUGGCAGAAAUGGAGUCUAACCAAGGAAUGGGGUGGUAGGGACUCUGUGUCUCAAUGGAAUUUGGUGAAUCACUUCAUUUUGAUAGCCUCAGAAACAAAGAAACUGUCUCUGCCAAAGAUGAUGGUAGCUAUCACAAAGCAUUAACACAGAGUUGGUUAAAAUGGGGUUGGAUGAAAUAUUAACAAAGUCUUUAAAGUAUGGUGUCUGGUAUUCAGUACAUUUAAAUUCCUUUUCCUUUUUGUCUGAACUCAACCCCUGUAGUCUUGCCUUUCCACACAAUGACUAAGGCAGUGUGUAAUCACUGUGUACACCUCACCAUUCUUAGGUUCCAGAAGAUAAAUAGAGAAGUACAAGAUGCCAUCCUUCCUUUAAACAAGUUUCAAUGAAGGAAAGGGCCUCUUCGACUGGCAGAGCGAUGCCUGCAACAUCAGCUGCUGUGUGGGUCUGUGCCUGGUGCCUGGCAAGCUGCACAAGCAGCGCAGCACCAACGUCAAGAACUGACGCCUCCCCGUGUUCAGAGAGGACUUCUUUGAUGGCCUGGGGCCAGUCAGUGUGAGGAAGCUGGCAUUCAGGAUCAACGUGGUGAACAAGGGCAGCAGUCUCAAGCGGGACAUGCUGCUGGGGAAGAAGGAGCUGCCCCUGACCUCCACCGCUGCCCUUCUUGUAGAGGCCCCGCUCCCCUCCGGAUCCUGCAGGGAAGCCCUGAUGCUGAGGCUCUUGUUGGGGAUGUCCUGGGUCAUACUCUUUUCCAGGGGUUACUUUUAAUGGAAGAGAAGAAAGGGGGCUGCUGGGGGAAAAGGAAGGGCCAGCUUGCCGGGCUGAGUCCCUCUGGACCCCAAGUUCCUUGCCACCACUGCCGCUGCUCACCCCUUCCGGAGUUCUCGAACCUGAGCCAGGAGGUAGCAGAGUCCAAUCAUACACCCAGAGGCUGCCUGUCCUGGGGCCCAGCCAGAUCUUCUCUGCGGUACUAUCUACCACAUUUUUGGUGGUUGGCUCAAGCACUGCCAGGACAGCCUGUAUUCACUGAGAUAGUAAGGUCAAGGCUUCAAAAAUACCAAAGGUAUGAUGCAAUUCACCUAGCGGCUUGGUGAAAGAAGACCCAGUCAAAACCAAAGCUGAACUAAUAUUAAAUCAAUCAGGAGUGAUGCUUGGCUUUACAAUAGGAUUCCCUUAAAUAAUAUUCCUGUAUUGUGCUUAAAUAUUUGUGGUAGGAGUUGUAAAUUAACAAUAUGAAACACUAUUACAACUUGUAGGUGAACAAUAAAUAUCACAGCUGAGUGAAUUAUUGACUUUUU
rnacentral:lncRNA from 1 species